UACAGAGGGGGCAAGCGUUUGUUCGGAAUUACUGGGCGUAAAGGGCGUGUAGGCGGUCAGGUAAGUGAGAUGUGAAAUGCCCCGGCUCACCCGGGGACCGGCAUCUCAUACUGCUUGGCUUGAGUACGGGAGAGGAUGUGGGAAUUCCUGGUGUAGCUGGUGAAAUGCGUAGAUAUCAGGAGGAACACCGGUGGCGAAGGCGCACAUCUGGCCCGAUACUGACGCUGAGGCGCGAAAGCUAGGGGAGCAAACGGG
rnacentral:rRNA from 1 species